GGUGAGCAGAGCAAAGGUCGGCGAGGUCAAGGAUCAGAUGACGAGGAAGAUGAAGAGGAGGAGGGCGAGGUAGACGAAGGUGGAGAGGAAACGGCGAAGAAGCGCAGCGAGGACAUUGAGGGGAAAGAUGGCGACGCAGAGACGAAGACGAAUUCUGAGGGCAGACAGGACGACCUGUCGUGGGCGGAGAGAGCGUCCCUGCUGAGGAACGACCUGCGGCCCGCCAUCAAACCCUUCAAAGGAAACAAGCUGCUGCUGCGCUUCGCCAC